rnacentral:misc_RNA from 1 species
GGUGUUCGAGGUGCUGAAACGGGCGGACGCGAGGACGCUGGGACGGGCGGCGUGCGUGAGCCGCCGGUGGCGGGAGAUGGCGGAGGACGAGCGGCUGUGGGAGGCGGUGUGCACGCCGCACUGGGCGAGCAUGGGCUGCGGCAAGCUGCAGCUCCGAUCUGUGGUGCUUGCGCUCGGCGGCUUCCGCCGCCUCCACUCGCUGUACAUGGUGCCGCUCCGGCC